AAUUCGUUCACUUAAAUUGUUUAUAUUAUUUCAGGCAGCGGCGUGUGCAACAGCAAGAAGAAAAUUGAGAACCAGACUUUACGAAAAAAGGAACAGAGAAGACACCAAGAAAAGUGUAAAAAUAGAUAUGAUGAUUGCAGUGAAAGCGAACAAUGUGCUGAUAAGAGUAUUGAAUAAUAAGAUAUAAUAUUUAAAGAAAUAUAAACCAACGGAACGAAAGGAGAAAAUAAGGGAAAUUUAGAUAUGUUUUUUAAGUGAUCGUGUAGUGAAAAUAAAAAACAAAGAAAAGGGUUAAAACAAGCAGGAAAUAGCAUAAAAAAACUCCCUACAUGCAACACAGAAAGAGAAACGACAGUAAACGAAGACGAGUUAAGGAAGAGAAGAAUAAGGCUAAAUAGAGGAAGGAGAAGAAGACUAAGAAGAAGAAAGCCAAGCCGAAGACCCAGAAGAAGAAAAAAAAAAGGAAAAGUCGAAGAGGAGGAAAGAAAAUAAGAGCAAGAAGAAAAGGAAGAAGGAGGAGGAGGAGGAGGACCCCUGAGGAACCCCUGAGGAUUCCCUGAGGACUACCUGAGGGCCCCCUGAGGACCCUCGAGGCCCCCUUGCACGUGGACAGCGCAGCCGUGUCUUCGUGGUCGCCUCCGCCGCCGUCGCCGCCGCACCCGCCUCGCCCCACCUCCUUCAGGAUGUCGACGCCGGGCGAGCGCCUCCUGUCGCAGAUCCACGCCAUGCAGGUGCAGGUGACCCAGCUCCGCCAUGAGGCCAGCAUCAAGCGCAUCCCCGUCAGCCAGGCGUGCCACGAAUAUGUGUAGCCCCGCCCACUUUCAUAUCGCCCGCCAAUGAGAUCCGGCGGCGCGUGACGUCACCAUCCCCUAAUCGCGGGCGUAUCGGGUUUCCGUCGAAGGACAUUUGACCCAAUCUCACGAAAGGUCAAGCAGCGUUUACAUGGCACGGAAGAGCGGCGCAGCCUGAUGAAGUACUGCGAGGAGACGCAGCAGGAGGACGUCCUCGUCACCGGGAUCACGCAGUCCGACAACCCCUUCAAGGAGAACAAGGCGUGCACCAUCUUGUGAUGCAGGCCAAACCGCACUAAAGCGGCGAAAGUGUGAAGGCGAGAACAGAAGAAAUCCUGCUGAUUCAUAUUUCAAAGAACACAAGAAAGAAAAGUAUUCGUCGCCUUCCACUAACUGCUUUUUCUUCUCGGAUUAUCUUAGAUUUAACUUUUGGCUUAUUUUUGUUUUAUCGGUCAUAGCUUAAUUUGGUAUUUCAUUGUUAUUCAUAUUACGUGAGUUGUAUAUCCUUAUUUAUUGAAGGUCAUUGUUAGUUUCGUUUUAUUUCUCUUGUGAAUUUGUUAAAAAAAAAAUCUGAAAGACACAAAUAAUUCAAGCGGAAGUUAUUGUAAAAGUUAGAUAAUUUUGUUCAAGAAAAAUUAAGUCCUUUUUUAUCUCUUAGGAUGAUGUGGGAAGCCUUUCACGUUUGCUUGUUGUUUGUUUCUCUCUCCCCUUCGUUCAAAGCUCACUGACAAGGUUGUAUGACACGCGGAGCUUCGGUGGAGGCCUUGGGCGUGGGUGUGUACGUAGAUUUGUGUGUACGUAUAUGUGUGUGUACGGAGAUUUGUAUGUACGUAUAUUUGUGUGUACGUAGAUUUGUGUGUACGUAGAUUUGUGUGUACGUGGACUUGUGUGGACGUGCAUUUGUGUGGACAUGUAUAUGUGUGCGUGCGUAUGUUCAUGCUAUAGGAACCGCUUUUGUAGGAAGGCCUAUGGAUAACCUUUCCCCCCUCCUCCCUCCUUCCCGUCUCCCUCCUCUCAAUUUUCCAAAACGCAAGAAGUUCUGAAGGAAGAGGUCGAAAUACCCUUUUCCUCCCUCCCUCCCUCUGUAGCAAGAGGUCAAUAUUCCCUCAUUCUGGAGCAAGAGGCCGUAGUUCAGUCACGUCAGAAGCGAGGUAAAGGAAAACUGAAGAAAUAAGUCAAAAUCCCUCUCUCUUAUGAAGCAAGCAGUCGAAGUUAACCUCCCUCCUUCAUAGGCAAGGUCAAUCCCCUUUCCCGACGUUCUGAAGCAAAAGAGGUCAGAAUCCGCUCAGAAGUUCCCUCCCCUCCCUUCUGGAUCAAGAAGGUCAUCGCCCUGUGAGAACCGAGGUCAGGGACCCUUAGUGUGACCUUAUCUCUUGUCUUCUUAGGUCACCCCUGCCUGGCGCCUUCCGACAUGUUUACGAACGCAAAGCUCCUGGAGGAUUCUCUCUCUCUAUCCUCCUCUUCCUCCUCGUCCUCCUCGUCCUCUUCUUCUUUCUCUUUUCUCCCCGUUCCUUCUUCUUUACCUUCUUCGAUCUCUUUGCCUUCUGUUUCUCCCUCUUCUU